rnacentral:rRNA from 1 species
GAUGAACGCUGGCGGCGUGCCUAAUACAUGCAAGUCGAGCGAACGGACGAGAAGCUUGCUUCCCUGAUGUUAGCGGCGGACGGGUGAGUAACACGUGGAUAACCUACCUAUAAGACUGGGAUAACUUCGGGAAACCGGAGCUAGUACCGGAUAAUAUUUUGAACCGCAUGGUUCAAAAGUGAAAGACGGUCUUGCUGUCACUUAUAGAUGGAUCCGCGCUGCAUUAGCUAGUUGGUAAGGUAACGGCUUACCAAGGCAACGAUGCAUAGCCGACCUGAGAGGGUGAUCGGCCACACUGGAACUGAGACACGGUCCAGACUCCUACGGGAGGCAGCAGUAGGGAAUCUUCCGCAAUGGGCGAAAGCCUGACGGAGCAACGCCGCGUGAGUGAUGAGGGUCUUCGGAUCGUAAAACUCUGUUAUUAGGGAAGAACAUAUGUGUAAGUAACUGUGCACAUCUUGACGGUACCUAAUCAGAAAGCCACGGCUAACUACGUG